rnacentral:lncRNA from 1 species
GCUCUUCUGUCGUUCCUGUGCCUAACUUUUCUUCUUAAGAGGAGGAGAGAGAGCUGCUGUCUCCGCCUGUGUAUCUCUGUUGGUGCACGAAACCCUCAUCUCCAGCAGUCGGGGGUUUCUCUACCCACUCAGCUCUUGGACUCCCCUGGGAACACUUGCUGGACCUUUGCUCUCCCUGUGAUCCAGUUUCUUUUGGGGGUCCUUGCACAUUCCAGGCCUCCUGCUGUGGUGUACAACCUGCUUCCGACAAGCCUUGGAGUUUCAAAGUAUCAGGAUAGACCAGACUCUGCUUCCUAACGCAGUGGGCGUCUCUUCCAGAAUAAGCCAUUUUAGGCUAACAGAAAACCUAACACAUCUUUCUAAAAGUGUGAUUUGGUGUAUUACACAUAAAGUCGCACAUACGCAAUGAGCUGCAAAAGCAGAACUCGAAGGAGGUCACCUUCAUCCAAGAAACACAGGGAGAGGAGCUCCACCCGAGCCUUGAGACUGGGAGGCCUCAUUGGGUUGUGUUUGGUUUACUAGAGGAAGAAGAGAAUAUCCUGUCUCUCGUCAUCCCGUCUCUCCUCAAGGCCACAAGAGCAGAGAUUCAUUACCUUUUUAAGCCAACAGAGCUGGAGCCCUGAGCACUCUGGGCUCCAUAGUGGUCCAUCUCAGACCACCUCCCCAGUUGACCCUCAUGCUUCAAGUCAGUGUGACUUGCCACAGGCAUCCAAUCAGGUUCAAUGG